AACCCACAAUAACGCCAACACGAAGAAUGCUUUCUGCGUGGUAGUAGUCACUGUCAAGAGCAUUUUAGGUAUCUAUGGAAGACCCCACAUGGCAAGGAAAUGAUGCUUCUGGCCAAGGGCUAGCAAGGACCUGAGACCUGCCAAAAUCCAAGCUCUACACCCCAUGUGGGCUUGAAAAUCACAACCUUGAGCUUAAGAGUCGCUUGCUCCACCGACUGAGCCAGCCAGGUGCCCCAAGAGUGAAUUGAUUUUAAAAAUUAAGCAAGUAACUGUCAAUAACAUGUGUACACUGUUCAGAUGUUUUUUGCACACUCCCAGAUAUGUAACAGCAAAUCAUGCUCUUUCUGUCUUCAAAUAUGUCCGGGACUCAACCGCCUGUCCCCAAGCUAGCAGGGUCAUGCCUGGGCCACUGCAACCUUCUCCCUCCCCUCCAGACCUUUGCUCCCAGCUCUGUCCCCUGCAGUUUAUUAUCCACAUGGCCGCUAGAGGGAGCCAGUUAAAACAAGGCAGAACUUAACCCUCCUCUUCUCAGAACCUCCAGGGGUGCUCAGCUCACUCAGAGGACAAGCCAAAGACCCCACAAUGGCCUGUGUGACCCUUCAGUCUGUCCCCCAGCAUUUCUCACAUAGUAUCACCUCUUGGAUGGUCCUGAUACGUGCCAGACAUGUUCCUACCUCCGGAACCUGGUACUUGCUCUUCUCAAUGCCCAGAACAUACUUUCGCCACUAUAAGUGCUUUCCUUACCACCAUUAAGACUUUGUUCCAGGUGCCUGGGUGGCUCAGUCUG